UCCGACACCUCGGGGUGUCCGGCCGGUGCGCGGCAGGGCUGAGAUGCGAGCGUCGCGAACCCGUUGAACCUGACCCGGUUAACACCGGCGGAGGGAAGGUGACGGCAAUCCGC
rnacentral:ncRNA from 2 species